rnacentral:rRNA from 1 species
CCUACGGGAGGCAGCAGUGGGGAAUAUUGCACAAUGGACGAAAGCCUGAUGCAGUAACGCAGCGUGAAGGAAGACGGGUUUCGGCUUGUAAAAUUCCAUCAAUAGGGACGAAAGAAAAGACGGUACCUGAAUAAGAAGCAUCGGCUAACUACGAGCAAGCAGCCGCGGCAAUACGUAGGGUGCAAGCGUUAUCCGGAAUUACUGGGUGUAAAGGGUGAGUAGGCGGGAUGGUAAGCCAGAUGUGAAAGCCUUGGGCUUAACCAGAGGAUUGCAUUUGGAACUAUCAAGCUAGAGUACAGGAGAGGAAAGCGGAAUUCGUGGUGUAGCGGUGAAAUGCGUAGAUAUUAGGAAGAACACCAGUGGCGAAGGCGGCUUUCUGGACUGAAACUGACGCUGAGGCACGAAAGCGUGGGGAGCGAACAGGAUUAGAUACCCUUGUAGUC